rnacentral:lncRNA from 1 species
GGUUUAUAUUCCUCCCCUUUAGGAAAUAUACUGGCGGCUGUGAUUGAAUUAACUUCCAGGUUGUUCUUUGCUCUCCUUAGAUCUCUCUAUCCCCAUGAUAAAGUGAAUUUUAUAACAUGGUGCAAGAUUGAAGGUACCGCAUCCAUGUCAUGUAUCCAUGGUCUUCCCAAUAUGGCGUUGUAGGCCAUGUCCCCUACCACGACUUGUAAUGGAGUAUCUCUAGUUACCCCUUCUGUGAAGGUCCUCAAGGUGUUCUCUCCUUUAGUUAUUUUACUAGAGUUAUUGUAUCCGGAGAGUAGUAGUGUUUUUGGGAUAAUCCAAUCCUUAGUCUUCAUCUCCUUGAUUACUCGUAUUUUAAUGAUAUUGGACGAUCUACAUGGGUCAACUAAAGCAUGUCUAAUAUCACUAUCAACAAUUCAUAUAGUAAUUACCAUUCUGUCAUUGUAUGGCGCGAGCUGUCUAUCUACGUCCUCAUCAUUGAAUGUAAUUUCUUAUCUGGCGAGGAUCUGUCAGGUCGCUUCUCAUAGGUGAUGGAUACCUUUGAGAGCUUGUGUGACAAAGGUUUUGUAGUAAUGGUCACUCUGGAACUCGCACCAGAAUUUGUGUAUAUGCUUAUAUGGGUCCAUUCUCAUCUCCUUUUGCCAUCUUACUAUUUCCCCCAUUUGCCUGAGCAUCACCACCAGAUCAGUGGUGCUGACAUUGAAUUUGUAGUCGGCCAACUUUGGUCGGAGAUGAUAAUCACCGAUUUUUGAUGUUUCUAUUUCUUUUUCUAAUUGAUGAGGCACUUUAUCAUUCUUCCGUCCGAGAUUUCUAUCGUCACGACUCGAUUUGGGCCUUUUGUCAUUCUUCCGGUGCAUGGGACUAGAAUAAGGUUCAUACCGAGAUCUAGAAUCUCAAUACCUGGGCUCAUCCUAUCUCAAAAAAUGAUUUGUUCCGAUGGCUAUAUCCCACUGGCUCUUUGGCUUCAAAUCCUGAUAGUACCGAGAUGUUAUCCUCUUUUCAGAGCUUAGUGUUGUACUUGUGAUAUACAUUAUUUCAUGUUUUGGCAGGGAAUUCUUGUAAGUUUUCUUUUAGUUACUUUGAAGCUUUGGAGUUGCUCAGGUUAUGAUGUCGUGUAAAAGCCACAACGGCGCAAUUGUCUGGUACUUCAGGAAGCAUCAUUGUCUCCCUCAAAAAUCAAGGUAUGAAAUCUCGGAGCGAUUAUGUUUUUCCCUGCAUGACUAUGAAUAAUCCUCCACUUGGUUUUUCACCUUUUAGGCUCCAGAGUACGCCUUGAUGGAAGCAUCUGCAAGUUCAGCAAAAGUACUAAUAGAAUUUUCAGAUAAAUGGGAGUACUAUAUUAGUGUUCCCGUUGUCAGGGUCUCUUCAAACUUCUUGACGAGCACUCAUCUGAUUUCGUCCUUCGUGAGGUUAUUUCCCUAAUAUGGCAGUGAUUUGACCCGUGAUUGGCGAGAGAUUCGCACAAUCUCUUA